GAUCUCGCGGUGUAGUGGUUAUCAUAUCUGUCUAACACACAGAAGGCCGGCGGUUCGAGCCCGUCCAAGAUCA
rnacentral:tRNA from 1 species